UACGUAGGGUGCGAGCGUUGUCCGGAAUUAUUGGGCGUAAAGGGCUCGUAGGCGGUUUGUCACGUCAGGAGUGAAAACUCGGGGCUCAACCCCGAGCCUGCUUCUGAUACGGGCAGGCUUGAGUUCAGUAGGGGAGACUGGAAUUCCUGGUGUAGCGGUGAAAUGCGCAGAUAUCAGGAGGAACACCGGUGGCGAAGGCGGGUCUCUGGGCCGAUACUGACGCUGAGGAGCGAAAGCGUGGGGAGCGAACAGG
rnacentral:rRNA from 1 species